AUGGCGAUCUCCAAGAGCACCCAGCCCUCGCCGGUGGCCAUCUUCCUCUCAGGGGCGGCCUCAGCGACUGCGCUGCUCGUCUUCUUCUACACCGCCACCGCAGGCCCCGCGUGGCCCACGGCGACGACGGAGUUCACCCCUCAGGGAAGCCACGCGGUGGCUCGGCCGGCUUCCGCGCCGGCGACGAAGGCUUCUUCUCCUACCAAUGCGACGGGCGGCGGCGACGACGCGUUCGCGCGGAUGCUGCGGCGGGCGGCGAUGGAGGACCGGACGGUGAUCAUGACGUCGGUGAACGAGGCGUGGGCGGCGGAGGGGUCGCUGCUGGACUCCUUCCUCGAGAGCUUCCGCGUGGGGCUCAACAUCUCGCACCUGGUGAAGCACAUCGUGGUGGUGGCCAUGGACGAGGGCGCGCUCCGCCGGUGCCGCGCCGUGCACCCGCACUGCCACCUGCUGCUCCCGGACGUCCACGGCCUCGACCUCUCCGGCGCCAAGAGCUACAUGACCAAGGAGUACCUCGACCUCGUCUGGAGCAAGCUCCGGCUCCAGCACCGCGUCCUCCUCCUCGGCUACAACCUCCUCUUCACGGACGUGGACGUGGCGUGGUUCCGGGACCCGCGGGUGCACAUCACGGCGGCGGCGGACAUCACGACGUCGAGCGACUUCUACUUCGGCGACCCGGACGACCUGGGCAACUACCCCAACACGGGCUUCAUCUACUUCAAGGCCACGGCCCGCAACGCGCGCGCCAUGGCUUACUGGCACGCCGCCAGGGCGCGCUUCCCGGAGAACCACGACCAGUUCGUCUUCAACGAGAUCAAGCGGGAGCUGGCGGCGCCGCCCAUCGGCGUCCGGAUCAGGUUCGUCGACAGCAAGCACGUCAGCGGCUUCUGCCAGCUCGGGCGCGACCUGAACCGGAUCGCCACCGUGCACAUGACCUGCUGCAUCGGCCUGGAGAACAAGCUGCACGACCUCCGGCGCGUCGUCGAGGACUGGAGGCGCUACGUGUCGCGCCCGGAGUGGGAGCGCCGGGCCGGCAAGAUCGGGUGGAGGUUCGAGGGAGGCAAGUGCAUACAUUGA
rnacentral:rRNA from 1 species